CGCAACAGCACUGCAAGCCCUCUCCUUUCUGAGGUAAUCCAAUCUUCACAACGACAAAUGGUGGAAAAUCAGAGGCAGCAGAAGUGAGUGCUUCUGUGAAAUCCUGUAUCAGCGAGAAGAUGAAGAUGCUGAAGGAGCAGACAGUCACUGGAUCAUUCCAAGUUUUUGCUGUUUGGAGAGUGCAGAUGUCUGAGGGUCUGGGUGACUGCUUCAGAUUUUGGUGUGAUAUUUGGCCUGUUAGCACUGAAUAUCCAGAUAAAUAGAGGUACACCUUUAAGGCAGAAGAGUUUGCUGGACUUGGAGAAACAUUCUGAAUUUAUGAGCUGAGAACCAAACAGAUCGAGUAACUGACUAAUUAUUCGAAUUUGAUUAACAUCAUAAUUAAUGUUGUUCCAGGACUGUCAUUGAAAGUGACCAGUCACCUUGUUGUGAUCUCAUAGCUUUGCAAAAGACAGCAGUGGACAGCCACUGACUAUAUUCAACUUAUUCUCCUUUGCUCAGAGCUAUAUUUUCAGUAAGAAAAUAUCAGCAAGACUCAUGAGCGAACAACUAUUCCAGUGUCAACAACCUUUAGGUGAGUGGGAUCCAAACGCUUAAUUUUCAGGUGGUCAGUAAUCAGAUGUCAGUAAUGAGUUUCAUCACCAUUUGUCUAGAAUGAUGCCCUUGGUGAGACAGUUCCUCCCGGCAUAUUUCAGAGUGAAUGGAGUUGGACUUCUGAUCCUUCCAAGAUGUCAGUAUGUGAAGGCCACAAGUCCUAUACGUUUUUGGUUGUAUGGAGAAAUGCACUAGUCAUGAUCAAUCAUCAGGCGUCUGAGAGAACACUAAGAAUGGGGCGUUUUGGCGGGUGGCAGUCUACCUGAUUUAACCGAGGUGAACCUUAGCAGCAGAUCUUAAAACAACACGCACACUUCCUGGGAGUCUGACACUCAUUGUAUUUGGGAAGUAUACACCAAGAUACACUGUAAACACUUUUGAGCUACCAGAACAAAGUAAACCCUCUUGUACGAUGUAAUUAAUUGAUGUUUUGGUCAUCUUAGAACAUCACUGAUGGUAUUUCCAUGUACAUAUAAUGAGAGAAGUUCUCCAGCUUUUUAUUGGAAUGGAUCUGAGUGUACAGAUGUUGCUGGAUGUUAGUGUGAAUUGCUGUCUGUCUCUGUGUUUGCCCUGAAACUGACUGGUGACCUGUCCAGAGUGUACCCUGCCUCUCGCCCGAUGGCAAUUAGGAUAGGCCCCAGCCCCCUGUGAAUCUACACUGGAUGGUCUGAAGAGGAUGGAUAAAUAGGUACAAGUCAUUGUUCUAAAAACCUCUUUUUACACUUGUGAAAGAAAAGUAGUUCACUUACUCAUAGUUUAUAAAGUACACACAUUGUAGUGUUGUUGUUUUUUAAAUCAUUACUUAUUUUUCCAUGAUAAACUUUCCAUAUGCAAGGUGAUAUCUGCCUUGCUGCGUAUUUAACCUCAAGUACCAGGACGGGAUGACAUGCACGUUAGAGUUCACUCAACGGGCAAGGUUGAAUUCAGACAAUCUCAGAACCUUCACUUACAUUAGUAGAUGCUGAGUAAAGUAAAAAUACAAUCUUAAGAUGAAGUUUUGAUCCCCAAAGCUGGAUCCUAUAUGGAAAAAAAGGUGUGUUGCAAAUGUUAUGUAUACAUUUCUGUUUUGAUCAAAACAUAUUUAAGCCUGAAGUUGACAUAAUCUGCUCUGUAUUACCUAUCGACAAAUUAUUAAUGGGGAGUGCAUGUAUGUAAAUGCUAGAAAACAGUUGUUUCCAUGAAAUCUGUUUACCUUCCUGACAAGUUAGAGAUUUCAUAUGAGUUUUAUAGGUUGAGUGUGACUAUGCCAUGACAUUAAAAACAUUUAAUUCAA